rnacentral:rRNA from 1 species
CGAAGGACCAGUAAACAGCGGGGGUAACUAUGACCCUCUUAAGGUAGCGUAAUACCUUGUCGCUUAAUUGGCGACUUGCAUGAAUGGUCCAACGAGGGCUCCACUGUCCCCGCGAUAUGUCCGGCGAAAUUGACUUUACUGGCGCACAGUCCAGUACCUUCUACCCGCAAGCGAAGACCCCAUAGAGCUUUACUGCAGCCUGUCGUUGCAUAGUCGCUUUCCAUGUACUGUGUAGGUGGGAGACGUUGAUCCCUGGGACGCCAGUCCUGGGAGUAGUCGAAAAAAGAGACACCACCCUUGGAGAGUAACUAUGCUUUACUGUUUAUCAGGACACCGAUAGGUGGGCAGUUUGGGUGGGGCGCCACGCGCUCGAAAACCUAACAAGCGUGCCCAAAGGUCAGCUUAGGUGGUUCAGCACUCCACCGUCAACUGUAAGGGGAAAAGCUGGCUUGACGUGGAUCCGCACAAUAAGGAUCGACGAUGCGAAAGCAGGGCCUAACGAACCUACCAGCCUCAUUUCUGGGGGCGGUAGAUAACAGAAAAGUUACCUCGGGGAUAAUUGAGUUGUCACCAGCAAGAGCUCACAUCGACCUGGUGGCUUGCUACUUCGAUGUCGUCUCUUCCUAUCCUGGGUCUGCAGCAGGACCCAAGGGUGGGGUUGUUCGCCCAUUAAAAGGGAUCGUGAGAUGGGUUUAGACCGUCGUGAGACAGGUUUGUUGCUUGGUGGUUGAAGUGUUUAGUGUCUGAUGGAAGGGGCCCUUCAGUACGAGAGGAACGAGGGCUCGGGGCCACUAGUUUACCAGUUGUCUGACAAGGCAAUGCUGGGUAGCCACGCCCUGAAGGAUAAGAGCUGAAAGCAUCUAAGCUCGAAGCCACCCCAAAAACGAGACACAUUUUUCAUAACUCGUAGAAGACGAGAUUGAUAGACUGCGGAUGUAA